UACGGAGGGGGCUAGCGUUGUUCGGAAUUACUGGGCGUAAAGGGCGCGUAGGCGGAUUAGUAAGUUGGGAGUGAAAGCCCGGGGCUUAACCUCGGAAUAGCUUUCAAAACUACUAGUCUUGAGUGUAGUAGGGGAUGAUGGAAUUCCUAGUGUAGAGGUGAAAUUCUUAGAUAUUAGGAGGAACACCGGUGGCGAAGGCGGUCAUCUGGGCUACAACUGACGCUGAGGCGCGAAAGCGUGGGGAGCAAACAGG
rnacentral:rRNA from 1 species